UCUCCAGACCACUAACUAUAGAAUAGAGAGGGGAGUUUCCAAGUGAGGUCAUAUUAGAACAACUGGUCAGUAAAAGUCUCUGUGGUGUCUGGAAAGUCCUAUAGUUAGUGGCAGGCAAGCUUAUUUGUGCACCUGAGAUGUCCAGCACAGCAGCUGGACAAAGUGCUCCAUCAUCCCUUCUCCUCCUGUGGCAAGCUGCAGGAGUGCCCUGCCUUGCCAGGAGCGAUCGGCCUGGACAAUGCAAUACACGACGUGAGAAACAAUGGAGCAGUUCAAAGAGCUCGCUCUGGACAGGCUGCUCGCAGCAGGAGAUGUGCCUAGCAUGCAUAAAUGAACUGCAGUCUAUGAGGGCUGGCUAAUUGCACUAGGUAUAUUUUUGUAGUUGAAGGAAAUCCAGCUAGAGACCAGCCGUAAGAGAGGAGGUUAGUGGAAAUUCCUUUAGACCUUGAGAGGAAGAGUUUGAUCACUGAAGCAGAAUGCAUGUCUGCGUGAAUUCCCUCAUUGGGAAAGACUGGCACUUUUUCAGAAGAACAUCCAUUCCCUGUGGGUAGAGAUUUUCUCGUGUCUUUGGCAGGUACUAAGAGCUGAAUUUACAAUGGGGAGUUCCAUUUCAAUUUUGUUUCAUGCAGUCUUUAUUUUCUUGGGAGACAUUACUCAGAAUGAAAUUUUCCCAUGCUGAGAGCUUAGUAUCACUUCCUCCCUGUGCCCACUUCAUGUUCCAUAAAAAAUGCCUGCAUCUAAGCAAUUUUUUUUUUUUCUCCGGAGCCAUGGAUUGUGACAGAAUGGGCAGGCACAGAUGUUCUCCUGUGAAGGAAGUGACAUUAUUGUUCUUGUUAUUAGUGCUUAGUACUGGAGAAAAAAAAUCCAGAUUCUUACACCAUCCUUUUCACCAACAAAUCUCAGAGCUCUCCUGUUUUACAGGUGACAAGGAAUGAUGGCGAGUCCUGCUGAAAAUAAUUUGCCCUCCUGGACAGCUCCAGAACCAUUGGAAUCUUUGAAAAUCUGGUCCAUGCUGCUUCAGGCUUACUCCUGGAACAGAGAGCAGUUAUACCGAGGGCGCAUCCACUGCAGUACCUCAGGUGGCAAGGGAUGGGGAUUUAUGUCCUGCAAACUGGUUCUAAAAAUCAAGCAUGUUUUCACCACCUUUCAGAGAAAUGUAGCAAAUACUUGGAGAGCUGGUCCUUCUGUUGCUGCAGAUAUAAUAAAAUCAUUACUUUGUUGA